rnacentral:lncRNA from 1 species
UCUGAACGCUGAUUGGCUAAGAGCCGUGUUCAUAUAACUCAAUGUCAACACGGGAAAUUUUCCGCCGCUUGUAAACACGGAAAUUUUUCUUAUCCUUCGGACUUUUGACAUUGCUAUAUUAUAAAAAAAUUAUAAAACAUUUUUUCCGUAUUGAUAUAUAGUCAUAUCAACACUCGUGGAAGUUGGGAAAACUCGAAAUUGUAUGAAAACACUCCGCCCUUCGGGCGUCGUGUUUCCAUACAAUUUCUCGUUUUCCCAAUUCCAC